GUCUUUAUGGUGUAAAAUUGCACGACAGAUUUUCAUUCUGUAAGAAUUUAUUAAAAUUAAAGGUU
rnacentral:tRNA from 1 species